UCCGAUAUGGUGUAGUGGUUAACAUUAUCGCCUCUCAUAAAGUUCCUCUUCGCGAUAGCCCGGGGUUCGAUUCCCCGUGUCGGAA